rnacentral:rRNA from 1 species
AACGAACGCUGGCGGCAUGCCUAACACAUGCAAGUCGAACGAGACCUUCGGGUCUAGUGGCGCACGGGUGCGUAACGCGUGGGAACCUGCCUUUAGGUUCGGAAUAACUCAGAGAAAUUUGAGCUAAUACCGGAUGAUGUCUUCGGACCAAAGAUUUAUCGCCUUUAGAUGGGCCCGCGUUGGAUUAGCUAGUUGGUGGGGUAAAGGCCUACCAAGGCGACGAUCCAUAGCUGGUCUGAGAGGAUGAUCAGCCACACUGGGACUGAGACACGGCCCAGACUCCUACGGGAGGCAGCAGUGGGGAAUAUUGGACAAUGGGCGAAAGCCUGAUCCAGCAAUGCCGCGUGAGUGAUGAAGGCCUUAGGAUUGUAAAGCUCUUUUACCCGAGAUGAUAAUGACAGUAUCGGGAGAAUAAGCUCCGGCUAACUCCGUG